GACGAACGCUGGCGGCGUGCUUAACACAUGCAAGUCGAGCGGUAAGGCCCUUUCGGGGGUACGACGAGCGGCGAACGGGUGAGUAACACGUGGGUGACCUGCCCUCAGCUCUGGGAUAAGCCUGGGAAACCGGGUCUAAUACUGGAUAUGACUCCAUGACGCAUGUUGGUGGGGUGGAAAGCCUUGUGCGGCUGAGGAUGGGCCCGCGGCCUAUCAGCUUGUUGGUGGGGUGAGGCCUACCAAGGCGACCGACGGGUAGCCGGCCUGAGAGGGCGACCGGCCACACUGGGACUGAGACACGGCCCAGACUCCUACGGGA
rnacentral:rRNA from 1 species